UACGUAGGGGGCAAGCGUUGUCCGGAUUUAUUGGGCGUAAAGAGCGUGUAGGCGGCCUGGUAGGUCUGCUGUGAAAACUCGAGGCUCAACCUCGAGAUGUCGGCGGAAACCAUCUGGCUAGAGUCCGGAAGAGGAGAGUGGAAUUCCUGGUGUAGCGGUGAAAUGCGCAGAUAUCAGGAGGAACACCAAUUGCGAAGGCAGCUCGCUGGGACGUUACUGACGCUGAGACGCGAAAGCGUGGGGAGCAAACAGG
rnacentral:rRNA from 1 species